rnacentral:rRNA from 1 species
GAUGAACGCUGGCGGCGUGCCUAAUACAUGCAAGUCGAGCGAAUGGAUUGAGAGCUUGCUCUUAUGAAGUUAGCGGCGGACGGGUGAGUAACACGUGGGUAACCUGCCCAUAAGACUAGGAUAACUCCGGGAAACCGGGGCUAAUACCGGAUAACAUUUUGAACCGCAUGGUUCGAAAUUGAAAGGCGGCCUCGGCUGUCACUUAUGGAUGGACCCGCGUCGCAUUAGCUAGUUGGUGAGGUAACGGCUCACCAAGGCAACGAUGCGGAGCCGACCUGAGAGGGUGAUCGGCCACACUGGGACUGAGACACGGCCCAGACUCCUACGGGAGGCAGCAGUAGGGAAUCUUCCGCAAUGGACGAAAGUCUGACGGAGCAACGCCGCGUGAGUGAUGAAGGCUUUCGGGUCGUAAAACUCUGUUGUUAGGGAAGAACAAGUGCUAGUUGAAUAAGCUGACACCUUGACGGUACCUAACCAGAAAGCCACGGCUAACUACGUGCCAGCCGCCGCAGUAA